CCUACGGGAGGCAGCAGUAGGGAAUAUUCGACAAUGGGCGAAAGCCUGAACGAGCGAUGCCGCGUGAACGAUGAAGGUCUUCGGAUUGUAAAGUGCUGUUGUAGGGGAAAAAGAGUGGCAAGAGGAAAUGAUCGCAGAGUGACGUUACCUUGCGAGUAAGCUAUGGCUAACUAUGUGCCAGCAGCCGCGGUAAUACAUAGGUCGCGAGCGUUAUCCGGAAUUAUUGGGCGUAAAGUGUGCGUAGGCGGGUUGCUAAGUCUGGAGUAAAAGGCAGGGGCUCAACCGGGACUCGCUCUGGAAACUGGCGAACUAGAGAGAGAAAGAGGUGAGUGGAAUUCCAUGUGAAGCGGUGAAAUGCGUAGAUAUAUGGAAGAACACCAAUGGCGAAGGCAGCCUACUGGCUCGAUACUGACGCUGAGGGACGAAAGCGUGGGGAGCAAACAGGAUUAGAUACCCCUGUAGUC
rnacentral:rRNA from 1 species